rnacentral:rRNA from 11 species
UUUUUCAGCAAUAGCCUAAUUUCCAUAAAAGCACUAGAUCCUGUAUGAUCUUGGAAGCUUAAGCAGCGUCAGCUCUGGUUAGUACUUGGAUGGGAGACUGCCAACAAAGACAAGGUGAUGUAAACU